rnacentral:tRNA from 2 species
GACUUUUUAACUAUAUAAGUAUAUAUUUUGAAAAUAUAAAAAAGAGGGUAUCUCUAUUAGUCU